rnacentral:rRNA from 1 species
UACGUAGGGGGCGAGCGUUGUCCGGAUUCAUUGGGCGUAAAGAGCUCGUAGGCGGCUUGGCAAGCCGGGUGUGCAAACUCCAGGCUCAACCUGGAGACGCCACCCGGGACUGCUAUGGCUAGAGUCCGGUAGGGGAUCACGGAAUUCCUGGUGUAGCGGUGAAAUGCGCAGAUAUCGGGAGGAACACCAAUGGCGAAGGCAGCUCGCUGGGACGGUACUGACGCUGAGACGCGAAAGCGUGGGGAGCAAACAGG